rnacentral:rRNA from 1 species
UACGUAGGGGGCAAGCGUUGUCCGGAAUCAUUGGGCGUAAAGAGCGUGUAGGCGGCCAGAUAAGUCCGCUGUGAAAACUCGAGGCUCAACUUCGAGCUGUCGGUGGAAACUAUUUGGCUAGAGUCCGGAAGAGGAGUGUGGAAUUCCUGGUGUAGCGGUGAAAUGCGCAGAUAUCAGGAGGAACACCAAUGCGAAGGCAGCACUCUGGGACGGUACUGACGCUGAGACGCGAAAACGUGGGGGAGCAAAACAGG